rnacentral:rRNA from 1 species
CAUAUAGAAUACCCAUCAACACUCAGGCUAGAGUAGUACUGGGAUGGGUGACCGCCCAGGAAGUCCUAGUGUUUUACAUGC